CCUACGGGUGGCAGCAGUGGGGAAUAUUGCACAAUGGGGGAAACCCUGAUGCAGCGACGCCGCGUGAGUGAAGAAGUAAUUCGUUACGUAAAGCUCUAUCAGCAGGGAAGAAACACUGACCUUACGGUCAGCAGACGGUACCUGACUAAGAAGCCCCGGCUAACUACGUGCCAGCAGCCGCGGUAAUACGUAGGGGGCAAGCAUUAUCCGGAUUUACUGGGUGUAAAGGGAGCGUAGACGGCAGCACAAGUCUGGAGUGAAAUCCCGGGGCUUAACCCCGGAACUGCUUUGGAAACUGUGCGGCGGGAGUGCAGGAGGGGUAAGCGGAAUUCCUAGUGUAGCGGUGAAAUGCGUAGAUAUUAGGAGGAACACCGGUGGCGAAGGCGGCUUACUGGACUGUAACUGACGUUGAGGCUCGAAAGCGUGGGGAGCAAACAGGAUUAGAUACCCCAGUAGUC
rnacentral:rRNA from 1 species